rnacentral:rasiRNA from 1 species
UUCCCAGUUGCGGAGUUCGAAACACCGA